rnacentral:sRNA from 1 species
UGAUUGAUUAACGGUCUGAUUGCCUGG